GGUCAGGACGAACGCUGGCGGCGUGCCUAACACAUGCAAGUCGAGCGAGGAGAUUCCUUCGGGAUGAUCCUAGCGGCGGACGGGUGAGUAACACGUGGGCAACCUGCCUCAUAGAGAGGAAUAGCCUUCCGAAAGGGAGAUUAGUACCUCAUAACAUUGCAGUUUCGCAUGGAACAGCAAUUAAAGGAGCAAUCCACUAUGAGAUGGGCCCGCGGCGCAUUAGCUAGUUGGUGAGGUAACGGCUCACCAAGGCGACGAUGCGUAGCCGACCUGAGAGGGUGAUCGGCCACAUUGGGACUGAGACACGGCCCAGACUCCUACGGGAGGCAGCAGUGGGGAAUAUUGCACAAUGGGGGAAACCCUGAUGCCAGCAACGCCGCGUGAGUGAUGACGGCCUUCGGGUUGUAAAGCUCUGUCUUCAGGGACGAUAAUGACGGUACCUGAGGAGGAAGCCACGGCUAACUACGUGCCAGCCGCCGC
rnacentral:rRNA from 1 species